UUUCUUUGAGUCUCUGGAGCUUCUCACUUGGGGCCACGCAGCCUCAUUAGCACAAAUCUCCAUCAGGACAGUUACAAUGGAGCAAAAAUGCUUAAAAUAAUGAAAAACCCCUUUGCUGUUGAGUUGGAAAACUGGAACAGCUGGUCACACUGCAGCCCUGACCGAAACCCCCUGUGAAAAUGUGCCUCAGCACAGUAACCAGUCAGCCUUGCCACUGGCUUUGCCCAUUGUUUCUGACGCGCUGUACUGUGGUGUCCAUGCAGCUCUGCCGAGACGGAUGGCGCCAUCGAGGGCACGUGGGAGGGCAGCGCCAAUCCCGCAGCCCCCCAGACGGGGGGGGCUGCAGAAGGGGAGAGAAGGGAGGAGGGGGCCGGGGCUCCGGGGGCGUGUUUCGGAACCCCGAGCUUCGAGGAGCUGAGGAGGGCUUUCAGCGACGAGGGCAGGCACGUCAAGCUGGCCCGGCACCUCCUGCAGGAGGAGGAGGAGGAGGAUGA
rnacentral:lncRNA from 1 species